rnacentral:rRNA from 1 species
AUGGUGGUCCGUGCGCUCAGGUGCGUAGUUGGGUCCUUCCCCCAAACAUACCUGGGUCUGCCUCUGUCAUGGGAGAAACUGAGAUUCGAAGAUUUCCUCCCAAUGAUUGCGAAAGUGGAAAAAUACCUUGCGGGCUGGGCGGCGCGCCUCCUCUCUCCUGCUGCUCGCCUGGUGUUGAUUAACGCUGUCCUCGAUGCCCUGCCAACAUAUGCCAUGGCCACGCUGCUCCUUCCCCCGAAGCUGCUCCGUGCACUAGAUGCCAUGAGAAGAGAUUUCCUAUGGAAUGUGGCCGAAAGGGCGUCGGGUGCACAAUGUCUGGUGGCCUGGGAUCGCGUGUGUCGCGCGAAAUCUGAAGGUGGCCUCGGGGUCCGCAGCCUUGCCGUGCAAAAUGACUGCCUCCUGCUGAAAAUGAUUCAUAGACUGCAUUGUUGGCCACGGUCGAGAUGGGCUGCCUGGGUUUGGGAUGAGGCUCACGGAAGUUCGCUCCUGACGCGUGGUGACCUCGCUCUGGGUGAACACCGAAGAGCCCUGACGAAGCUGAUGCCUCUGUACCGUGAUCUCUCCACGGUCACCGUGGGGGACGGGCGAUCGGUCUCCUUCUGGUUCGACAACUGGCUGCCCUGCGGAACCCUUGCCGUGGCUUUCCCCGCCCUCUUCUCACAUGCUGUCUCUCCUGAGAUGACCGUAUGGGAGGCUCGAGAAGAGGGACUGCCUAGACACCUCGUGCCGCGCCUCACGCGUGCGGGCGAAACCGAGCUCAGGGUGGUCCUGACGUUGAUGGAGGCCCAGCCUGUGAGAGAAGAAGAGGGGGAUGAUCGGUCUCUCCUCCUCAUCUCGACACCCCGCGACGUCCUGUCAACGGCAAUGGCAUACCGACUUAUGAGGUUUGGUGGCUUGGUGGCCCCUUUUGCCGCCUCCAUGUGGGAGACGAGGGCGCCGUCGCGCGUCAAGUUCUUUUGCUGGCUGAUGGUGCAGAAACGUAUCCAUACAAGGGAUGUCUUGCUGAAAAAACACAUUCUAGAGCCUGAUGGAGCAGGAUGCCCCGUGUGUGAGGAUGGGCUGGAAAGUGCAGAUCAUAUGAUCUUCUCCUGUCCGUUUGCAAGAUCCUUCUGGGGACGGAUCGGCGUUAACGUCGAGGGGGUGAGCGUGAGCUGCUUGGAUCACCUGGCCUCGGUGGCGAGCUCGGUAGUCGAUUCUGCUCCUGAAUUCUCCAUGCUAUGCUGCUGGCACUUAUGGAAGCACCGGAACGCGGUGGUGUUCCAGGGGCUGUGUCCCUCUCUCGCGCGGUUACUUGGGUCCUGUAAGGAGGACGCGCUGCUGUGGCGCGGGCGCCUGAAAAAAUCCUGCCGCGCCCAUGUUGAAACUUGGAUGCAGGCUUUGGGGUAA